rnacentral:rRNA from 1 species
UACGUAGGGUGCAAGCGUUGUCCGGAAUUAUUGGGCGUAAAGAGCUCGUAGGCGGUUUGUCGCGUCUGCUGUGAAAACUCGGGGCUUAACCCCGGGCCUGCAGUGGGUACGGGCAGACUAGAGUGCGGUAGGGGAGACUGGAAUUCCUGGUGUAGCGGUGAAAUGCGCAGAUAUCAGGAGGAACACCGAUGGCGAAGGCAGCUCACUGGGACGGUACUGACGCUGAGGCGCGAAAGCGUGGGGAGCAAACAGG